rnacentral:rRNA from 1 species
UACGGGGGGAGCAAGCGUUGUUCGGAGUUACUGGGCGUAAAGGGCGCGUAGGCGGCCUUCUAAGUCAGACGUGAAAUCCCCAGGCUUAACUUGGGAACUGCGUCUGAUACUGGGAGGCUUGAGUGCGGGAGAGGGAUGUGGAAUUCCAGGUGUAGCGGUGAAAUGCGUAGAUAUCUGGAGGAACACCGGUGGCGAAGGCGGCAUCCUGGACCGACACUGACGCUGAGGCGCGAAAGCUAGGGGAGCAAACAGG